rnacentral:rRNA from 1 species
GACGAACGCUGGCGGCGUGCUUAACACAUGCAAGUCGAACGAUGAUGCUGGAGCUUGCUCCAGUUGAUUAGUGGCGAACGGGUGAGUAACACGUGAGCAAUCUGCCCUUGACUCUGGGAUAACUGCGGGAAACUGUAGCUAAUACCGGAUACUUUCACCGGAAGGCAUCUUCUGGUGAUGAAAGAAUUUCGGUCAGGGAUGAGCUCGCGGCCUAUCAGCUUGUUGGUGAGGUAACGGCUCACCAAGGCGACGACGGGUAGCCGGCCUGAGAGGGUGACCGGCAACACUGGGACUGAGACACGGCCCAGACUCCUGCGGGAGGCAGAAGUGGGGAAUAUUGCACAAUGGGCGCCAGCCUGAUGCAGCAACGCCGCGUGAGGGAUGACGGCCUUCGGGUUGUAAACCUCUUUUAGCAGGGAAGAAGCGAAAGUGACGGUACCUGCAGAAAAAGCACCGGCUAACUACGUGCCAGCAGCCGCCGCGG